rnacentral:rRNA from 1 species
CAAUAGCGUAUAUUAAAGUUGUUGCAGUUAAAAAGCUCGUAGUUGAAUUUUUGCUUGCCGCCGAUGUCGGAACUUCCGUACGUUCGGCGGCGUGCAUCCUUGGGUGGAACCUGUGUGGCAUUAGGUUGUCGUGCAGGGGAUGCUCAUCGUUUACUGUGAAAAAAUUAGAGUGUUCAAAGCAGGCUUACGCCGUUGAAUAUAUUAGCAUGGAAUAAUAAGAUAGGACCUUGGUACUAUUUUGUUGGUUUGCGCACCGAGGUAAUGAUUAACAGGGACAGUUGGGGGUAUUCGUAUUCCAUUGUCAGAGGUGAAAUCCUUGGAUUUCUGGAAGACGAACUACUGCGAAAGCAUUUACCAAGGAUGUUUUCAUUAA